GACGUAGGGCGCGAGCGUUGUCCGGAUUUAUUGGGCGUAAAGAGCUCGUAGGUGGCUUGUCACGGUCCGGGUGUGAAAGCUUGGGGCUUAACUCCAGGUCUGCAUUCGAUACGGGCUGGCUAGAGGUAGGUAGGGGAGAACGGAAUUCCUGGUGUAGCGGUGAAAUGCGCAGAUAUCAGGAGGAACACCGGUGGCGAAGGCGGUUCUCUGGGCCUUACCUGACGCUGAGGAGCGAAAGCGUGGGGAGCGAACAGG
rnacentral:rRNA from 1 species